rnacentral:lncRNA from 1 species
GGUAUUCCUCUUGAGAUAAGAAUCUAUCAAUCAAUUACUCAUAAUGAUGCUACAUUGAAGGGCACCACUUGGGUAUACGUCUUAAAAAAUCUCCCUUCACACACACAGAUACACACACAAUUAUAUUGCCAGGCGGUACCGGUGAACUCACCUGCCAAUGCAGGAGAUACAGGAGAUGUGGAUUUGAUUCCUGGGUCAGGAAGAUCCCCUGUAGAAGGAAAUGGCAACCCACUCCAGUAUUCUUGCCUGGGAAAUCCCAUGGACAGAGGAGACUGGUGGGCUACAGUCCAUGGGAUUACAAAAGAGUUGGACACGACUGAAGCAAUUUAGCAUUUAUGUGACUAACUUUUAAACAAUUAUUUAAGAAUCUUUUUCUCUUUCCUGUGAUCAGUGUGAAUAUUAAAAACCCACAUUCUCACUCAUCAGAAUAUUCUGAGGUAAUAUUUUCUUUUUCUUGAAUAGUUGUCUAUAACCAACUCCUAAUAAGCCUGCAUUGUGUUCUUCCAUUUUACAUACUGUUAGCUAAACAGUUCUCUUCCUCAUAUGUCAAUUCAAUUUCACCUUCUUUUGGUGUCACUCAGAAAAGUUAUAAUCAUUAAAACAUCAGCUCUCAGGGAUCAGAUUUCUGGAAAAAAAAUGUGUGUGCCAGUGGUUUGAAUUGACAUUAUAGUGAUACCACACUUACCUUAGGAAAGGAAUACACAUGGAAUCAAUGUGGUCUAUCAUGCAAAGUAUUUAUACAUAUACAAUAUGAAAUUCAAGGUCACAACUGGUAAGAAUGCCCAGUCUGUGAAAUAGUAUCUUACCCAUCUUUGUAUGACCCAUUCACAAUCAUAGAACAAACACAUGCAAUAUAAAUCAAAAAGUGAAACAAUUUAAGAUAACCAGAGAGAUGCAAAGUUAUUUCAGUUUAGAGUGAAGCUAAUAUGCCCCAUACUCAAAAGUCCCACGUUAAAUGUAAAAUUGUGCUGAUAUUCUAGAGUCAGAAAUGGUUUUCCCUGUUUCUUUCAUAGGACUAAUCUCUCAAUUUCAUUAUUAUAUAUUUGCUCUUUUAAUUCAAACUCCUCAAAAGAACCUAUGCUUCCCUGAGGUGUCACUCCAAAGCACAAUCUAUUGCACGUCUAAACCCUGGAACAUAGUAAUUCUUUAGCCAUAUGGCUUUUAGUAUCUGAAAUGAGAUCCCAGGAGUGAAAUUCCUUGUAAUCAAGAUCAGUUUCCUUCUCAAACUUUAGGUAUAAUAAGAUUUGAACUUCAACUGAUGGAAGUAAAUGCAAUUGUGAGAAAAUGAAUUUUUUUCAAAUAGUGAGAAAUUCCCUAUCAAAUAAAAUCCCAUAGGAAUCCCUAAACUCA